rfam:Picea glauca, whole genome shotgun sequence.
UCAUAUGUACAUUCCUAAAAUGUUUAUGCAUCGCAUCCCAUUAAAACUCCACAUUUAAGCACGCUUGGGCUAGAGUAGUACUGGGAUGGGUGAUCUCACGAGAAGUCCUAGUGUUUUACAUGCC